GGUUUGGAGUGGAUUUUUAGUAAAUUUUAAUAGAUUUGUAGUUGAGGGUUUUGUUUGUUAGAAGGAAAAUUAAUAAAUAGAAAGGAUAUUUAUAUUAAAAAUUUAUUUGUAUAUUAUUAUUAUUAAAGAUUAAAAGUAGAUAAAAUUAUAAAGAUGGGGAAAAAAUAGAGUAGAAAAAUUGGAAAUUUUAAAAAGUAGAGUGUUUUUUUUUUUUUUAA
rnacentral:misc_RNA from 1 species